CUUCAAACGUGUUAUUGCAUUUACGAAAUCUUUCUUCAAGUGUACAGUUGUGUGCUCAGAUAUCGCCAGUUGUGAACGUCUUGUCAUAUAUUCAACAUGUAAGUAAAAUUAUACAUUUGAAUAUUAUAUUUUUUUAUAUAUAUAUCUUUUACGGUACCUAUAAUAAUUCUCAGCUACAUGGCACAGAUGACGACGAUUUUCAACUGUUUUGUUAUCUUAACUCAUUCUGGGCUUUUUUCUCCUAUUCAAAUCUUCAUAAAUUAAUAAUUAAAUGAUCUAUUCACAACUUUAAUUCUACGUAGUACUACGUGCUUCUUAUUUAUUGACGUCUAAUUAUUUGGUAUUUAGAUUGUACUAUUAGGGCACCCUCUUACCCUGAUUUUGUUUGUUCGACAAUAUCAUAUUUACCUGUUUAUGUCCACAGAUGAACAAACUAUCAUUCCUGACUAUGUUUGUGUGUCUGUUUUAGUUCUGUUGAUGAUAUAGUUGAGCCUUUGUUUUUGUCAGAUUUUAUUGAGAUCCCUUUUUUUUGGAAUCUACAUUGGAGUCCGUUAUUAUUGUUAAUAUUUUUAUGCCCCACCUACGAUAGUAGAGGGCAUUAUGUUUUCUGGUCUGUGCGUCCGUUCCUCCGUCCGUGCGUCCGUCCGUUCGUCCGUUCGUUCGUCCGUCUGUCCCGCUUCAGGUUAAAGUUUUUGGUCGAGGUAGUUUUUGAUGAGUUGAAGUCCAAUCGACUUCUAACUUGGUACACAUUUCCUAUGAUAUGAUCUUUCUAAUUUUAAUGCCAAAUUAGGAGAUUUACCCAAUUUCACGUCCACUGAACAUAGAAAAUGAUAAUACGAGUGGGGCAUUUGUGUACUGAGGACACAUUCUUGUUUAUAAAGUUUUAUUUUGGUUAACCAGUUUAUUGCAUACUAAUUUUUAAAUUUGCCACACAUCAACAAAGAUCCUUUAUUGACAGGAUUUGAACGCCUUUGUUUUUCUCACUGAAUUUUCACAUAUAUAUUUCAUUCAACCGCAACAUUAAUUUCCUUUGCUCUAUUUUUUUACCUAUAAGUAACACUAAAUUUAGUAUGUCCAAAGUGCUAUCCUUGAUUUACCUUCGUCGGCAACGUUCAAAUCUGGACAUUUUAAAGCCAGGGACGUAAAAAAACAUUAGGAGCUAAUACUAAAAAUUAAAUAGAACAAAAAACGAUUAUCUUAACUUAUUAUUUAACCUAAUUAGGUGAUUGGAUUCAGUUUAUUUCUUGUAUUUAUAGCCCGAAGUUAACAAUCUCGUGUAUAACUUGUAGUGUUUUUUCAACAAAUAGCCAGUUUGUCUAAAUAGCUUAUAUGAUUAUUUGCAUUCAUUAUAUUCCUUAUGGUUUAAACUGAGGGCAUUCGUUCAUGCAUAUCUAUAUAUAAACAAUUUAUCUUGAAAUAUGCUACGUGAAUUUCACAUACGACUUUUUAUUUCUGUAAUAUGUUUUGUAAUCUUAAAUUUAUAGUAUAUACUUUAGUAAAGGAUUGUUUUAAAAUGCCUCUUUAAUUGAUUCGAUUACUUUCAUUCCAAAAUUUCAUAUUAAUUAACGUUGAGUUACCUGGCAUAUUGCAACAAUAUCUAAAAAUUAAAUGAAUUUUUGACUUUAGCGUUAUUUUUUUUUUUAUCUAAAAAUGGUCUGAUAUAUAUAUCUCACUUUCGAAUUCGCAUUUUUGUUAGAAAUUUUGUCUUGUAUUUGUUUUGUUAAGUUUCGUUUUGUCUUGUUUUUGUUUUUGAUUUCUGGUGAGGUUUUUUGUAAAGGGAGAAGACGUUACAUUUAUUCCCAAAAGGAUUUUGUUUCUAGAGAUGCUAAAAAUAAUUUAGUCCUUUUGCAAAUCAUAACAAAAGUGGGAAGGCUACCUCCAAAAUCAAAAUGGUGAAAACCACGCUUCACUAUGUGUCAGUCAUUACCAAAAGUCUACAGUGAUCACUACUUGUUGGAAAGAAAAAAGAUUUAAAACGUUGUUGAGAACGCUCAUACACCAAAAACCUUCCAAGCAAAACACUGCUAAAGAGAUAGGAACGUUAGUUGUAGAACACUUUCAUAGUAUGAUGAAUUGUUUUAGAACAUUCAAUUUUCGAAGACGUAGAUCAGCCGUUAAUUCAUGUAUAAACUUUUCUUUCCUUUCUUUAUUUCAUAAAUUUGGGUCAUUGACUUUAAGAUUUUCCGAAAUUCUCGCAUUUUCAUUACAAACAUACUUUAUAGUUUACCUACCGAUACAGUUCUUUACAAAAUUGUUGAAGUCCUUUCUCUGAUCUGUAGAUUUAUAUAAAGAUGAUAAAAAUAUUGUCAGAAAAAAAUAGUGUACCCUGAUAGAAAUAAAGACUAAAAAUAAUCAGGCAGUUAUGUCUUUAUCAUGGGAUUGGAAUUUAACCUACUUUCGAUCUUCGGCGGUUUCAUCAUGGCGGGUGAUGCAUAUAUAGCAGGAGACGACGUGAUUACCCUGUUGACGCACCCGGACUCGCUCCCUUCGGAGUGCAUUCGAUUCACUCAGUUUUUGUUUGGUACCUUCAUUUGUCUGAAUUGCGAAAUUUGAUCAAAUGUAAAUUAUGUCGCCUCUAUCUACGUGUAGCAUAUCAUAGAAACAACUUUUCUACCGCUUUUAUGCAAUUCAACAUCAUUUCUAGAUACAAAGAGAAGAAAGCUGGAAUCAUGAUAUUUACAGUUACAGUUAUUGUGAUCUUCAGCUUACUAGAACACAUGUUUGCCUUACCAUGUAUUGGACCACAAGGAUCUACAUGUGAUUGCAGCGGAACAAAGGUCAAUUGUAACUCUGAAAGUUUAACAGCAAUACCUGAUGAUGUACCUUUAAAUACAACAUCGUU
rnacentral:lncRNA from 1 species